rnacentral:tRNA from 1 species
UGUCCGGAUAGUGUAGGGGCCUAUCAUGGAGCCCUGUCGAGGCUCCGACUCGGGUUCGAAUCCCGGUCCGGACGU